GAUGAACGCUGGCGGCGUGCCUAACACAUGCAAGUCGAGCGAACCUUUCGGGGUGAGCGGCGGACGGGUGAGUAACGCGUGGGUAACCUGCCCUGUACACACGGAUAACAUACCGAAAGGUACGCUAAUACGGGAUAACAUAUGAGAGUCGCAUGGCUUUCAUAUCAAAGCUCCGGCGGUACAGGAUGGACCCGCGUCUGAUUAGCUAGUUGGUAAGGUAACGGCUUACCAAGGCAACGAUCAGUAGCCGACCUGAGAGGGUGAUCGGCCACAUUGGAACUGGGACACGGUCCAACCUCCUACGGGAGGCAGCAGUGGGGAAUAUUGCACAAUGGGCGAAAGCUUGAUGCAGCAACGCCGCGUGAGCGAUGAAGGCCUUCGGGUCGUAAAGCUCUGUCCUCAAGGAAGAUAAUGACGGUACUUUAGGAGGAAGCCCCGGCUAACUACGUGCCAGCCGCCGCAGUAA
rnacentral:rRNA from 1 species